rnacentral:miRNA from 1 species
AAGGUAUGACACUGUGUGUGUGUGUGUGUGUGUGUAUAUAUAUAUAUAUACAUACACACACACACAGUGGUACCUC